AUGAAAAUUUAGAAAAUAAAAGUUAAAUCAGUGUCACGUAAUAAUAUUUUGGAUACUAUCAAUCUUGUAAUCUCGGUUUAGAAAAAAAACAAAGAUUAAAAAAAGAUAAACGGAUUGAACUCAAUUGUACAAAAUGUGUUCUAGUGAACUUACCCGACACUAAACUUAUAUUUUAUGUAAGUGUGAGCGAUUAAAUGCUACCUGAGAGAUUAUGAAGAUUCUAGUGAUAGGGUUAUUCUUAAAAUGGUGGAGGAUAUGACCGAGAAAAUGACAAGUAUUGGAAGAGCCUGAAUUAGAUAUGGUUUCUUUUAGAAGUAUGGAUAUUGUUGCAUAUUGGAAAAACAAUACAUCCCGUUUUAAAGAAUUAUCAUCAAUGGCGUGUGAUAUUCUUAGCAUUUCGUUCACUAUCGUUGCAUCGGAAUCAGCUUUUAGUAUCGGAAGUCGUGUUCUUAACAAGUAUAGAAGAUGCUUGUUACCAACAAAUGUACAAGCUCUCAUAUGCGCAAGAAACUGAUUUCAUGGAUUUCAAGAAGUUGGUAUAUAUUCUAAUAAGAAUUUUGUUUACAUAAUUGAUUUAUAGUUGGCCUUGCUUGAUUAAUAGUUUUGUUGGAAACUUAAAUGGCUUUGGGAUUGCAUCUUUUAGAUUAAUAGCUCGAUUAUAACAGUUUAACCCACAUCUGAACUCGUUUGCAUGUGGUUGGAUCAUUUGUUUUAGCCUUAGUUAUUACAAUGUCUUUAAAGAAGUGUUUGAAUUGCAGUGAUACUAGUAUUCUUCCUCUCAUGAUCAGUAUGAUAUGUAUAAGAGCUCACAAUGAUUCUUUUAGCUAACUACAUGGUUUUUAUUAUUGUAGGUGAUGAGGUCUAAAUUCAUGAGGAGAAAGGGAACACACAUU
rnacentral:sRNA from 1 species